GACCCAGUGGCGGAUGGUCCGCACCCGCAUUGGAUGAAGGUGUCGUCCUGAGUAUUAUGCGGAGCGCUCGUUCGAUUCGGGCCUGGGUCA